rnacentral:rRNA from 1 species
GACGUAGGGUGCGAGCGUUGUCCGGAAUUAUUGGGCGUAAAGCGCACGUAGGCGGCUUUGCAAGUCGGAUGUGAAAUCCCUCGGCUUAACCAAGGAAGUGCAUCCGAAACUGCAGAGCUUGAGUACUUAAGAGGAUCGCGGAAUUCCCGGUGUAGAGGUGAAAUUCGUAGAUAUCGGGAGGAACACCAGUGGCGAAGGCGGCGAUCUGGGAAGAUACUGACGCCGAGGUGCGAAAGCGUGGGGAGCAAACAGG